AUUCCGUGUUGUGGGCAUUUCCAUAGCAUCUCUUUGUAUCUAUCCCAUGUCUCAUACAAUGAUUUGGACUCCAACUGAUGGAAUGAAGAGAUAUCGCUUCUGAGCUU